AUUGAACGCUGGCGGCAGGCUUAACACAUGCAAGUCGAGCGAGCCGCGGACGGGUGAGUAAUGUCUGGGACACUCCCUUAUGGAUGGGGAUAACUACUGGAAACGGUAGCUAAUCCCGCAUACCAUCAGAUGUGGCCCUAUGGGAUUAGCUAGUAGGUGGGGUAAUGGCUCACCUAGGCGACGAUGCCUAGAUGGUUUGCGAGGAUGACCAGCCAAACUGGAACUGAGACACGGACCAGACUCCUAGGGGAGGCAGCAGGGGGGAAUAUGGCACAAUGGGCGCAAGCCUGAUGCAGCCAUGCCGCGGCGGUGAAGAAGGCCUUCGGGUCGUAAAGUACUUUCAGCGAGGAGGCGUUACUCGCAGAAGAAGCACCGGCUAACUCCGUGCCAGCAGCCGCGGUAAUUC
rnacentral:rRNA from 1 species